rnacentral:lncRNA from 1 species
AACACCGCUCAACAUCACUCCAGCCCGCCUAACACCGUUCAAAAUCACUCCAGCCCGUCCAACACCGUCCAACAUCACCCCAGCUCGCCCAAAACUGCUCAACAUCACCCCAGCCCGUCCAGCACCGCUCAACAUCACCCCAGCCUAUCCAACAUUGUCUUUAUCCCGCCCCACGGCAUAGGUCAGUCUCUGUGGGUGAGAGUUCCACCCACCACCCAGGUCAACACCUGGGUGGGUCUCUGCGGCAGAUGCCGCUGUUAUGAUGCUACGUCCCGACGGCUUGCCACAGUCAAUAUGCUUGUGAUUGGGUGUGAAAUGAACUGAAACCCAAAAAAUAAUCGUGUUAGGCUUUUAUGUAGACUUUUAUAUUCGCUAGGAGUUUCCUCGACCAACCCGGGGAAUGACAGGAACUGGGGAGUGACGACCUGCUGCCGGAUCAUCGCAAACCAGCGCGUACGGCGCGAGGUACGCGGGUAUGUCCUCCCUUUAACGGGAGUGUUCCACCUUUGAGGCAUAUUCAAAAACAUGCUCUGGUAAAAUUUUGGAGCCAGUUGGGACCAGGUUAGUCUGAUGGUUGCAUUUGACAGUGGUUAUUUCCACUGUAACACCAUCAGGGCGUAAUGGAGAGAUCAGUGUUACUUAUAUUCUGAACCACAUUACGCUGCCAACUUUUCGUCACAGCACGACACUUCUCUUCUUUAUAGCCUCAGAGUGUAGUGCUAGUCUGCGUCAUCUGGCAUCAUCGCGACUGCCAUUAUCGUGACGGCGGCAGAAUCUGCUGAGGACUGGUGCGAGUUGCACUAAGAGCACCUUCCGCGCCUGCGACCAGCGGCGCGCGGCCCAUUCCAGGACUGCGUUUCUUUAAGUUUUUUUUACCUCCUUUAGUGGAUAUCAAAUGCAGCGGUUCUCAGAGUUACAAGCUUUUCAACCCCACAAUCAACGAGCAGCUGAAGUAUUGCUCCUCAUGCCUUGCACCUUCGGUGAGCGGUCGUUAUCCUGGAUAAAAUUCAUACAGAAACAAAGGGCUGUCCUGGCCUGGGAAGCUUUUCAUCCCCGCAAUCAACGAGCGGCUAAAGUAUUGCUCCUCAUGCCUUGCGCAUUCGGUGGGCGGUCGCAAUACUGGAUGACUGCCAUACUGAAACAAAGCCUCUGCUGCAUCCGACCUGCUCGGACUAACCUUACACAUUUCUUAUCGAAUAACAAUCUGUCAAAUUAUUUUUUGUACUCUCCUCAUGCUGGGUCUUUCCUAUUGCAAGCAUAUUCUCUUUAAUUUUUUGUAGUUGAGGGAAUGCUUUGGCUAGGACGGAUGGAGCCCUAUGGAAGGUGAGCACGUCUUAACAAGAAGCUCAUUAUGACAUGGUCUUAUUUCAUAGCAUUACGGCUGAACACAAACCCAAAAUAAUCUGCAUGAAACUUUCAAUGUUUUCUUGCUCCGGAUUUUUGAAGAAGAAAGUUUGGUUUGAAUCGCAUUUUUUGCUCGUUCUGGAGAGGAACAGUGCAGUAGGGACGUUUCGUGCUGGCUCAAACGUUGCAUCAAAUACCACAUAUUUACAUAAUUAUUGCAGCGUAAAGAACAAUCUUCUGGAAAAAAAGAUACAAUAUGAAAGAAGGGAAAAUGCCGCACCGUCAUGCAAGCUACCUCUUCAGUGACAUGCUACUGGGAUCAAUUCCUUGAAAGAGUUCCGUCUCCGAGCCUGAUUAAAGACUAUUUUUGGUGAGCUCCAAGCUCACUUAAAGGCAAGUUAAAUUUAGAUAAAUGUAACGUUGCAGCAUUUCCUCUUGAUUCACCAGGUUUGUAUUCAGUGAUAGGCAAGUUUCCGCUACUACCGCUAUUACUUCCGCUACUACUUUGGGCCCGCUAUUAUUUCUUGCUAACAAAAAUAAAUCUAACAGCCAAAAACUCAUGUAAGCCUGACAAAAUGCAUGUUUGCUCCUGCCUGCUGAGGGGUUGACAGCCAUGCAGGCAUGUUGUUGGCCAGCUACGGGUGAACAUAGGACGUGAUUUGUCUACGCAGCGGUAGCUGAGCAGCAUGGCGCAAUUGCGCAGUUCGGUUCAAGGCUACAGAUGGCAAGCUGUUCAUGUGUGGACACUGAGGCCGGUCUUGAAAUUUACGACCCACUGGACCCCCAACCCCGAGUCAACGUACUGACAUGUGAACAGGUCAUCGGCGAACCAGAAAGCGUUGAACACAAAAAAGUGCCACUGUCCAGCAGCUCAGGGACCAUCCAAGCGGAUAAACAAUGCGGCUUAAGACAGGUACGCGAACUCACCAUGCUCAUCGAACUCAUCAAGGUAACCUCAUCAUACUAUAAGGACCUCAACAAGAAUCUGCAAAUCCAAAAGCGUUCGUCUCUUCACCUGCUUUUUACAAACUAACACGGAGCUGAGCUGCUUUGUAUCCAUUUCAAAGUCAAACCACUCCAGCCAGUAUAACUAUGGAAAAACUGAGACUGCAUUUGCACUCGCCUGGCUUGUAUGAAGGGUUUUUCGCUCCUACAUAGAUGCGUAUAAAUAUAUUGGUAUGCCUUUCGCGAAGAAAAAUUAGCUGUUUAAAGCCAAAAGGUAGCAGGUAUAUCAAACCAGCCACUUUGUCACUUUUAUAGGGAAACAGUGGCAAAUACACUGGAAAAUGGACAGCCUCACACACAAAUGCAUGUCAUCGGAAGAAUAUCAAGCACGGCAUUGUCCAUGGUCAAUAAACGCAUCAGUAGCAGCCUU